GGGCCCGCACAAGCGGUGGAGCAUGUGGUUUAAUUCGAUAAUACGCGAGGAACCUUACCUAGGCUAGAAUGCGAGUGACAUCCAGAGAGAUCUGGAGUUCUUCGGACACAAAGCAAGGUGCUGCAUGGUUGUCGUCAGCUCGUGCCGUGAGGUGUUGGGUUAAGUCCCGCAACGAGCGCAACCCCUGUUUUUAGUUGCCAGCAAGUAAUGUUGGGGACUCUAGAAAGACUGCCUGCGUAAGCAGAGAGGAAGGAGGGGACGACGUCAAAUCAGCAUGGCCCUUAUGCCUAGGGCUACACACGUGCUACAAUGGCGUAUACAAAGGGUAGCGAACCAGUGAUGGUAAG
rnacentral:rRNA from 1 species